UAUGUGAAUACAUAGCAUAUCAGAAGGCACACCCGGAGAACUGAAACAUCUUAGUACCCGGAGGAAGAGAAAGAAAAUUCGAUUCCCUUAGUAGCGGCGAGCGAAACGGGAAGAGCCCAAACCAACAAGCUUGCUUGUUGGGGUUGUAGGACACUCUAUACGGAGUUACAAAGGACGACAUUAGACGAAUCAUCUGGAAAGAUGAAUCAAAGAAGGUAAUAAUCCUGUAGUCGAAAAUGUUGUCUCUCUUGAGUGGAUCCUGAGUACGACGGAGCACGUGAAAUUCCGUCGGAAUCUGGGAGGACCAUCUCCUAAGGCUAAAUACUCUCUAGUGACCGAUAGUGAACCAGUACCGUGAGGGAAAGGUGAAAAGCACCCCGGAAGGGGAGUGAAAUAGAACCUGAAACCGUGUGCUUACAAGUAGUCAGAGCCCGUUAAUGGGUGAUGGCGUGCCUUUUGUAGAAUGAACCGGCGAGUUACGAUUUGAUGCAAGGUUAAGCAGUAAAUGUGGAGCCGUAGCGAAAGCGAGUCUGAAUAGGGCGUUUAGUAUUUGGUCGUAGACCCGAAACCAGGUGAUCUACCCUUGGUCAGGUUGAAGUUCAGGUAACACUGAAUGGAGGACCGAACCGACUUACGUUGAAAAGUGAGCGGAUGAACUGAGGGUAGCGGAGAAAUUCCAAUCGAACCUGGAGAUAGCUGGUUCUCUCCGAAAUAGCUUUAGGGCUAGCCUCAAGUGAUGAUUAUUGGAGGUAGAGCACUGUUUGGACGAGGGGCCCCUCUCGGGUUACCGAAUUCAGACAAACUCCGAAUGCCAAUUAAUUUAACUUGGGAGUCAGAACAUGGGUGAUAAGGUCCGUGUUCGAAAGGGAAACAGCCCAGACCACCAGCUAAGGUCCCAAAAUAUAUGUUAAGUGGAAAAGGAUGUGGCGUUGCCCAGACAACUAGGAUGUUGGCUUAGAAGCAGCCAUCAUUUAAAGAGUGCGUAAUAGCUCACUAGUCGAGUGACACUGCGCCGAAAAUGUACCGGGGCUAAACAUAUUACCGAAGCUGUGGAUUGUCCUUUGGACAAUGGUAGGAGAGCGUUCUAAGGGCGUUGAAGCAUGAUCGUAAGGACAUGUGGAGCGCUUAGAAGUGAGAAUGCCGGUGUGAGUAGCGAAAGACGGGUGAGAAUCCCGUCCACCGAUUGACUAAGGUUUCCAGAGGAAGGCUCGUCCGCUCUGGGUUAGUCGGGUCCUAAGCUGAGGCCGACAGGCGUAGGCGAUGGAUAACAGGUUGAUAUUCCUGUACCACCUAUAAUCGUUUUA
rnacentral:rRNA from 1 species